rnacentral:lncRNA from 1 species
AUGAGCAAAGUUGUCACAGCCUCCAGUAACAUCAGUAGGAAGAGGUCAGUCCCCAGUGUGACAGAGCAGACGUGGAGGCUGGCAGACUACCCAGGCUUAGUACAGCCAUGCACCAAGAAGCAGCUGCGAGGUGGAGCCAGCAAAGCUGAGAAAGAACUGCACCACCAUCGUGGAGGGAAAAGGCUCCCACUCAUGUGAUGAGCUUCACACAGCUGGGCUGGAAGAGAAAUGAAAAGGCUGGUGACAGACUCACAGAGAGGAGCUACCUCCACUCCUGUCACUGACGGCUUCGUUGAACAGCGGUUUGAGGACGAAGCAAAUAGGAAGGACAAAGAAGAAAUGAGAUGUGGACAGUAGGCUCUCCUGCUCCCACCUCCACAACGCUAACACGACGGCUGACACCCCAAGAUGCCAUCUCUGUGUGUGUGUGCAUAAAUCUGAGUCCAUCAGCACUGUGGCUGCUCAGCUAACAGACCCUCAAGACAAAUAAAGAAUAGAGGAUAAAUUGUAAUAUUUUAAAAUGUUUCUGCUGUAAAAAUAUUUUUUGACUGGAGGAAUCUUAGCCAGAAAUGUAAUUGCCUUAUAAAGAGUUCUUGUAACACACUUGGAGAUUGGAUUCAGUCCUGAGUCAUAAGUUACUGGGUUUAUGCUACUAUUUGAAGAUGUGUGACUGUAUUUCCCUUAAUUUUUAGUAACUGCUGUGCUUCUUUCUUGCAUAGAGAACUUUUCAAGUUAUUCGUAUUUAUCAGAAGCACAGAAAAAACGGGCAAGCCUUGUGUUCCACUGGAAUGGUUUGCCCUCAGUACGUCCAACUGUUAACAUCAUAAUUUGCCAUCCUGCAUGACGCUAGCCACAGAAUUCAGCCAUUUAGUCCUGUAUAAAGCCCAAUAAUUUGCAUUUAAAACAACCACCCCAUGCCUCCUGGCUGUUCCCCCUGUAAAAACAGCUGCUGCGGGUUUAUCAGGAGGUGGACGAGCCCUGGGCAAGCGCACGUAGUUCCAGAGGCCAGUAUUGAGUUAGCCACGCUCACUCAUCGCCCCAAACUCCCGCAAAGAAAAAUC